rnacentral:rRNA from 1 species
GACAGAGGGUGCAAACGUUGUUCGGAAUUACUGGGCGUAAAGCGUGUGUAGGCGGCCUCGUAAGUCGGAUGUGAAAGCCCCAGGCUUAACCUGGGAAGUGCACUCGAAACUGCGAGGCUUGAGUAUCGGAGAGGUUGGUGGAAUUCUCGGUGUAGAGGUGAAAUUCGUAGAUAUCGAGAGGAACACCGGUGGCGAAGGCGGCCAACUGGACGAAUACUGACGCUGAGACACGAAAGCGUGGGGAGCAAACAGG